CAGAGUCAUAUGAGAUACCUGUUCCUCAGAUCAACAUAAACGAAGGAGAAUCUGUAGUUCUGCACUGCAACGUAAGCCAGGACACUACAGAUAAAGGAACCGAUUUUGUCUGGCAUAAAGAUGGAACUGUACUUUUUAACCACAGUCCACAUAUAAACCGAACUGUAAGAAAUUACACAUCAAACAGGAUGCAGAUUGAUUUCAGAAAUCAAAUGAAACUGCAAAUAUUUGAUGCACAGCCUUCAGAUUCAGGACUGUACUCAUGCUUUCCAGGAAAAACACAGUACAGAGUGACUGUAAAAGUGCUAAUUAAUCCAGGUGAUUCGUUUCCACUCAAUACAGUUCUGCUUUACACAGUUUCUGCAUGCACAGGAGUUUGUCUCUUAAUCGUCUUGGCUGUGUGCUUUCACAGGAAAAUAAAAAAGGAAAUGGCAUCUGAUCAAAGAGACACAGCUGAUGAUCUUGAAACGGUCGUUACUUAUUACACAAGAUUAUAUUGAACACAGUCAUGGACAAUUUAAUAUCUCCAAUUUACCUCACUUGUAUGUCUUUGGACUGUGGGAGGAAAACAGAGCACCCAGAGGAAACCCACGAGAACAUGCAAACUUCAUACAGAAAGGACCCGGACCACCCCACCUGGGGAUCGAACCCAUGACCUUCUUGCUGUGACAGCGACAGUGCUACCCAUUUAUCCACCAUGCCAUGAUCGAAUGAACAAUUCAGUAAUAAAGAGUCAUGAUUCAUCUUUGCAAAGACUGAAGCUCUGCUGGAUCCUACUUUUAUAACCAGUCAAGAUUCCCGUCCCAAAGUGUGUUACCAAUUCACCAGUUAUUGUGGAACGUUUAUAAAUGCUGAGAAAUCAUCUAUAAACAUUCUAUAAACUUAUUACUCUUGUUUUGUCCCUGUUAAAAACUGAAAAUAUUUUACUUUAAUGAAGGUUAAUUAGAAUGAAUAAAUCACAGAUUCUUUAUUAUAUUUCACAAAAUGUCCCAAAUUGUCCAAAAAUGAGGUUUGUAUUUAUAUACGGUAAGCUUGAGGCAUUUCUGACUGAUCACAGACAAAGAACAGCUGUUAACCAUCAGUAGAUUAUAAAAUAAAAACAAAUGUUUGAUGA